UGCUUCUUAUGACACCUGAUGGUCCUAAUUAGAAUGUGUUUUAUUCGUAUUGCAGAAGGCUGAGCAACAGAAGGUUGGAGAACUGGACAAUCAAGCAAUAAUUUCUUACAAAUGAAUAGUCAAGAAGGGUGGUGAAAUCGAAAAGACUGAUGAAGAAGAUGUUGAAGAUGAGUAUGGAUUGGAUAACAUUGAAUCUUCUGGUGUACGGUCGGAUUCUGAACUAAAAGGGGGAUCUCAUACUGAGAGGGAGCUACAAUUAGAUGCUGGAGAUGCUGGAGGUGAUAUAGAUA